rnacentral:rRNA from 1 species
GUCGAGAAUCUUUCACAAUGGGGGCAACCCUGAUGGAGCGACGCCGCGUGGAGGAUAAGGUCUUCGGAUUGUAAACUCCUGUCAUGCGUGAACAAGGUUGCUUGGUUAAUACCUGGGCAAAUUGAUGGUAACGCAAGAGGAAGAGACGGCUAACUCUGUGCCAGCAGCCGCGGUAAUACAGAGGUCUCAAGCGUUGUUCGGAAUCACUGGGCGUAAAGGGUGCGUAGGUGGCGUGGUAAGUCAGAUGUGAAAGCCCGGGGCUCAACCUCGGAACUGCAUCCGGUACUGCCAUGCUAGAGUACUGGAGAGGUGACUAGAAUUCUCGGUGUAGCAGUGAAAUGCGUAGAUAUCGAGAGGAAUACCAAAGGCGUAGGCAGGUCACUGGACAGUUACUGGCACUGAGGCACGAAGGCCAGGGGAGCGAACGGGAUUAGAAACCCGUGUAGUCC